CAGUCGCCACGGUAAGACAGAGGAUGCAAGCGUUAUCCGGAAUGAUUGGGCGUAAAGCGUCUGUAGGUGGCUUCUCAAGUCCGCCGUCAAAUCCCAGGGCUCAACCCUGGACAGGCGGUGGAAACUACCAAGCUAGAGUACGGUAGGGGCAGAGGGAAUUUCCGGUGGAGCGGUGAAACGCGUUGAGAUCGAAAAGAACACCAACGACGAAAGCACUCUGCUGGGUCGACACUGACACUGAGAGACGAAAGCUAGGGGAGCAAAUGGGAUUAGAUACCCCGGUAGUCCCUGUCUCUUAUAC
rnacentral:rRNA from 1 species